rfam:Trichuris trichiura, WGS project CBXK01000000 data, contig: TTRE_485
AAAAGCAUGCAGAUUCAAUAUAUUGCAGAAUUCACGUAGGCCU